AGAUUGAAUUAUAUGAUGACUUUUUUUUUUUUCAACUUUAAUAUCUUUUCUAAUGGAAUACAAAGCUUUAACACUUAUAAUUUAUAGAAUGAACAAAAAAAUUUUAAAAAUGAGUUUGGUUAGUAGUUGAUCAAUUGAACAGAAAAAUGGCAAAAUGAAUUUUUUUCUGAACAUUUACAUCAUCAAGUGCAUUCUACAGAUUACAACUUCUACUGAUCAUCUAUAUAAUAACAAUCAAACAUAUAUCAUGAUGAGCAAGGAUUACGCAACUCCGAUUUCAUUAUGCAGCUGUAAUUUCUGAAUGCAGCUACAAUUUUCAUUACGCAGCUUACGCAACUGCAAUUUUUAGGGUUUCUGAUUCAAUAACCUCCAAAUAUCACUUGAAACUAAUUUUCCGGUGAGCAGAAUCAGUUCAUUGCCUCUCCGAAAACGCUACAGGCUUUACUAGAAUUGGACUUUUUUCUCAUCAGACAACAAAAGCUUAAGUAGACUAGAGAGAGACUGAACUUUUGAAGGAAUACAUGAAGAACAUGGACAACUAGAAAAUACUUUGGAUUGUAACGUUUGUGCCAAACCAAAUCGAAUCUGUUGGUUCAUUUCGGCUAUUCGAUUUUUAUUGACUGUGUUUAUACACUUUUUCAAUAUGGCUCAGCUGCUGUUACUUUUACUAGAAUCUAACUAAUAUAGCAAUCACUGUUUUUUUGUAUUCAAUGUUUUUGUUGUGUGCAGCCUAAAACAUUAUAUUGAUCUAUUCAAUCAAGUGAGUUGGAUCUAUAUUGAUGAUUGAUGACUUCAAGAAUUGGAAGCCUGUAAGAGUUGGUGUGUUGUUUCUCUAUAUUUUUGUUACGAAGUUUUCUUUGUCAAAGAAUUUAUGUUGAUGUUUGAGCUCCGUACCAUAAUCGGGAAAGAAGAGAGUUGACAGAGGCUUAUAUGGAGGCACUGAUUCCUGAGCCCAUCUUCUAUCAAUAGGAAACAAGUAAUUCGCAUCACAACAAGAAGUUGAUCACUCGAUGAACUUUUAGGAGGGUGGUUUCGAAACUUGCUGUAUUACAGAAGCUUUUGGGGAAUUCUGAUAUGGGAAAACACAGCUUGCUCAUACUCUCCGUCUCUACACAUGUUCCUCUCUCACCCUCCUUAGAAGCCUGUUCAAUAUAGCAUUACUUUGUAUGUACCAAUUCAGCAUGGACCCAGGAGCUGUCAUGUAUAGUGCGAGGGUCAACUUCUGUUUUCAUAUUUUUAAUACUGAAGGGACCAAUUCUGACUUGCUUUGUUUUGGAUGCGGAAGAUCAUUUUUGCUCGUGCUUAUACAUAUCAGCAUCAGUUCAACCUGCUUCUUGAUCUAGCUGCCAAAAUGUCUGAAGAGCCGUUCAGACUUCUGCUGAGUGUUUUGCUUACAUUACAUGUUAUCCUCUCAACACCAGUCUUAGGAGUCCUAGGGAGAUUGAUGGAUUUGUGUGCCUGUGGUUCAGAUUGUGGAUUCAGUGAUUGCCCUGAAUAGAUUUCACAGGAAGAGAACUUGCAGACCGCCAUCUUAUACACGUUUUCACAGACUUAUCUUUCUACAUUACUAAAAUCUUUUGCUGUCUUGUCAUUGCAAUAACGCGAUCCAUUCCCCUCUCUCAGCAAAAGUUACGACAGAUGGUGUCCUGAAUGACACAGAUAACUGAGGAGCUCAAUGUAGCAGUCUACAUGGCUAGUUUUGUGGAACAUGCAGAAUCUGAAAUUGCAUUUAUUUCAGAAGAAGAAAAGCGGAUAAUGAUUAUGGUACAGAUUACAACAUAUUAUUUUCAGGGGAAUGCUGAAAAGAAUGAAGGCUUACGCUUGUUCACAACUGUACGAGAUUUUUUGAUAAGGGUAGAGAGGGCAUGCAGAGAUGUUAGACAGAGCAGCAAGGCCGAAGAGGACAUCUAAGAAGGAGGCUCCAGAUCCUUGCCAAAACUCAGACCAUCGGCGGCAUCAAUUAUUUCCUGCCAUCGCAGGAAGACGCAUUGAUCCUUCAAGUUCAGAUGAUGAGAGCGUAUCCCCUUAGCUUGUAUUUAAUAGGUAUGACAACUUUUUUAGACAUUGUUGCUACCUUUACAUUUCUCUAUGAACUUUUUACAAAUCUUAAGAUUGCAAUUGAAUAGAACUGUAAGGAGUUUAUUUGAAUCUAUAAAUUAUUUAUGUAUCUA